rnacentral:misc_RNA from 1 species
UACGGAGGGUGCGAGCGUUAAUCGGAAUUAUUGGGCGUAAAGGGCGCGUAGGCGGCUUCGCAAGUCAAAGGUGAAAUCCCUCGGCUCAACCGAGGAAUUGCCUCUGAAACUGCGUGGCUUGAGGCCGGGAGGGGGCGGUGGAAUUCCCAGUGUAGCGGUGAAAUGCGUAGAGAUUGGGAGGAACACCAGUGGCGAAGGCGGCCGCCUGGACCGGUCCUGACGCUGAUGCGCGAAAGCGUGGGGAACAAACAGG